UACGAAGGGGGCUAGCGUUGUUCGGAAUUACUGGGCGUAAAGGGCGCGUAGGCGGUCACGCACGUCCGUUGUGAAAUCGCUCGGCUCAACUGGGCGGGGUCAGCGGAUACGGCGUGGCUGGAGCAAGCUAGGGGGCAAUGGAAUUCCCGGUGUAGUGGUGGAAUGCGUAGAUAUCGGGAGGAACACCAGUGGCGAAGGCGGUUGCCUGGAGCUUUGCUGACGCUGAUGCGCGAAAGCGUGGGGAGCGAUCCGG
rnacentral:rRNA from 1 species